rnacentral:rRNA from 1 species
ACUCCUACGGGAGGCAGCAGUGGGGAAUAUUGCGCAAUGGGCGAAAGCCUGACGCAGCGACGCCGCGUGGGGGAUGAAGGCCUUCGGGUUGUAAACCCCUUUCAGCAGGGACGAAGCGAAAGUGACGGUACCUGCAGAAGAAGCGCCGGCUAACUACGUGCCAGCAGCCGCGGUAACACGUAGGGCGCAAGCGUUGUCCGGAAUUAUUGGGCGUAAAGAGCUCGUAGGCGGUCUGUUGCGUCCGCUGUGAAAUCUCGGGGCUUAACCCCGAGCCUGCAGUGGAUACGGGCAGACUAGAGGUAGGUAGGGGAGAAUGGAAUUCCCGGUGUAGCGGUGAAAUGCGCAGAUAUCGGGAGGAACACCGGUGGCGAAGGCGGUUCUCUGGGCCUUACCUGACGCUGAGGAGCGAAAGCGUGGGGAGCAAACAGGAUUAGAUACCCUGGUAGUCCACGCUGUAAACGUUGGGCGCUAGGUGUGGG